rnacentral:lncRNA from 1 species
CAUUGGCCCAGUGCAGGUCUGGCAAAGUCUACUAGCUGGGCUUUGUGCCAUUCUUCUAAGGAUUUACCCCGGAUGUGUUUCAGAGGAACUUGACCAAGGUGCAGUAAGCCUCUGAGAACUUUUUGUCAGGAGUCCUCCAGCUCACAUUGACUUUAUUCAUACAUUGCAUCCUCAUGCUGCAGGGAUAUUAUUGAUGUGGGACAAGAAUAUUAAGAGCAACUUGGAAAUGAAAGUAAUAUCUCUUUCGGCAUCAAUCUUUAUUGAUUCAGACAGCACAGAUGGACAGGCUUUCCCAGGAAAGACAAGAGCCAAGUGUACACCAGCUCUGACAAUAUAG